rnacentral:rRNA from 1 species
GGGGGACCAUCCUCCAAGGCUAAAUACUCCUGACCGACCGAUAGUGAACCAGUACCGUGAGGGAAAGGCGAAAAGAACCCUGGUGAAGGGAGUGAAAUAGACCCUGAAACCGUGUGCGUACAAGCAGUCGGAGCCCGCAAGGGUGACGGCGUACCUUUUGUAUAAUGGGUCAGCGACUUACUGUUCGUGGCGAGCUUAACCGUAUAGGGGAGGCGAAGGGAAACCGAGUCUGAAAAGGGCGCAUAGUCGCGGGCAAUAGACCCGAAACCGGGUGAUCUAGUCAUGCCCAGGAUGAAGGUUGAGUAACAUCAACUGGAGGUCCGAACCCACUCCCGUUGCAAAGGUAGGGGAUGAGGUGUGAUUAGGAGUGAAAAGCUAAUCGAACCCGGAGAUAGCUGGUUCUCCUCGAAAGCUAUUUAGGUAGCGCCUCAUGUGAAUCUUCUUGGGGGUAGAGCACUGUUAUGGCUAGGGGGUCAUUGCGACUUACCAAACCAUUGCAAACUCCGAAUACCAAGACAGACUGCAUGGGAGACACACGGCGGGUGCUAACGUCCGUCGUGAAAAGGGAAACAACCCAGACCCACAGCUAAGGUCCCAAAUUAUCACUAAGUGGGAAACGAUGUGGAAAGGCACAGACAGCCAGGAGGUUGGCUUAGAAGCAGCCACCCUUUAAAGAAAGCGUAAUAGCUCACUGGUCGAGUCGGUCUGCGCGGAAGAUUUAACGGGGCUAAGUGAUAAACCGAAGCUUGGGGUGCACAUAUUUAUAUGUGCGCGGUAGAGGAGCGUUCCGUAAGCCGUCGAAGGCAGAUUGAGAAGUCUGCUGGAGGUAUCGGAAGUGCGAAUGCUGACAUGAGUAACGAUAAUGGGGGUGAAAAGCCUCCACGCCGAAAGCCCAAGGUUUCCUUGCGCAACGUUAAUCGACGCAGGGUGAGUCGGCCCCUAAGGCGAGGCAGAAAUGCGUAGUCGAUGGGAAGCUGGUUAAUAUUCCAGCACCUCGCAUAAGUGCGAUGGGGGGACGGAGAAGGUUAGGUCUACCAGGCGUUGGUUGUCCUGGGGAAAGGCGGUAGGAGUGGGUCUUAGGCAAAUCCGGGACCCUUUAACUCCGAGCACCGAGACGAGCUCAUUAGAGCGAAGUGACUGAUACCACGCUUCCAGGAAAAGCCCCUAAGCUUCAGCUUAUGCAGACCGUACCGUAAACCGACACAGGUGGGUAGGAAGAGAAUUCUAAGGCGCUUGAGAGAACUCGGGUGAAGGAACUAGGCAACAUAGCACCGUAACUUCGGGAGAAGGUGCGCCCUUGAUCGUGGCCCAUGCGGGCUACAGCGAUCGGGGGCCGCAGUGACCAGGCCGCUGCGACUGUUUAUCAAAAACACAGGACUCUGCAAACACGAAAGUGGACGUAUAGGGUCUGACGCCUGCCCGGUGCCGGAAGGUUAAUUGAUGGGGUCAGCCGCAAGGCGAAGCUCUUGAUCGAAGCCCCGGUAAACGGCGGCCGUAACUAUAACGGUCCUAAGGUAGCGAAAUUCCU